rnacentral:rRNA from 1 species
AUGAACGCUGGCGGCGUGCCUAAUACAUGCAAGUCGAGCGAACAGACGAGGAGCUUGCUCCUCUGACGUUAGCGGCGGCCGGGUGAGUAACACGUGGAUAACCUACCUAUAAGACUGGGAUAACUUCGGGAAACCGGAGCUAAUGCCGGAUAAUAUAUUGAACCGCAUGGUUCAAUAGUGAAAGACGGUUUUGCUGUCACUUAUAGAUGGAUCCGCGCCGCAUUAGCUAGUUGGUAAGGUAACGGCUUACCAAGGCGACGAUGCGUAGCCGACCUGAGAGGGUGAUCGGCCACACUGGAACUGAGACACGGUCCAGACUCCUACGGGAGGCAGCAGUAGGGAAUCUUCCGCAAUGGGCGAAAGCCUGACGGAGCAACGCCGCGUGAGUGAUGAAGGUCUUCGGAUCGUAAAACUCUGUUAUUAGGGAAGAACAAAUGUGUAAGUAACUAUGCACGUCUUGACGGUACCUAAUCAGAAAGCCACGGCUAACUACGUG